CGCGGUAUAGAAGGGCCGGCGGGGCAGUUGUGCCCUCAGUUGGGGCUCAGCUCAGUUCAGUGCCCAGCGGCUGGUGGAGUGUGGCGAGUUGUGCUUCCUGCCGGGCGGGAGCUGCCUUGGGAAGCUGCUCUGUACCCACGGCUGUGCCGAGCCCGGGAGUUCACACAGCAGGAUGUCGAGUGCCACCGUGUCCCUGAGGUCACCCUUUCUGCUGUUGGGAGAGCACGAGGUGGAUGGAGAGGAUCCCCAGACAUCUGCAGGCACAGGGGACUCGGAAUAACUCCUGUCAGCAGCAAGGUCCCGACUGAAGUGGCAGCUGCAGUUGUUCCUGGUGUGUGGGCCAGUGGAAUUCCAAGAAAAUGGACAAGGGCAGAACCUGUAAGAAUUACCCCUAAGCCAGAGUCUCUCCUGGCAGAAGAGCCCAGGCCUGAGCUGGCUGAGUGUUGGUGUGACCCACAGUGGGUGUCCCCUGCCCUCGGGACAGUCUCCAGAGCUCCCUUUGGCAUCCCCUGCUGAAGGGUGGGAGCUGCCCAGAGCCAGCAGCAUCCAGCUGGAGGAUCCCGGAGGAUGCAGCUGAUGUUGUCUGGGAGGUAAGAGGUGGGGGUGCAGGAGCUGGCAGGGGUGUUUGCAGGCAGAGGGAGGGCAGGAGCAGGAGAAUUGCAGCUGCCAGCAGCUGGGUCAGUGCUGGAUGGAGUCGGGGCUGGGAAAGGGCCCUGAGUGUCAGGGCAGGGGAGAGCCCAGGGUGGCCCUGGGAGCCCUGGGGCUGUGAACAAGUGCAGUGGGCAAAGGAAUGGGCACUGGAGAGCUGGGCAAACAGCUGGAGGAGUUACAAGGGGAACCAGGAGACUGGAAUCGAGGAGCAGCAGCUCCGUGUGUGUGUGUGUGUGUGUGUGUGUGUGUGUGUGUGUGUAGAACCAGGUGUACUGCAGCCCUGAGUGAGGUGGGAAAUGAAACUCGGGAGGCUGGGAACGAGUCCCCCAAACUGGUUAAAGUGGGAUGGACUCUUCCCAAGUGUCUGAAAAGCUUUUCUUUAGUGUUGCUUUAUCAGUUGAAAACUGGAGUGAUUGUCGAGGUGUUGGCACUUGUUUUCCUGUGUCUUUGGUGAGGUGUUGACUCAGUACCUUUCCUGGAGCUGUUGUUGGAUGAAGAGGUGCCCCAAUUGACCUGAGCCUUUGUGCCUUCAGGACAAGUUCUGUUGCCACUGGAGCUGUUGGAGAAGUGGAGCAUUGGCAGUGAGAGGUAUGGAAUGAUGUUGUUCUGGCACAGAUGAAAUGAGCAGUGAUGGUGCAAUUGGCUGUUUGCUCUUGAAUGUGAUGGGAAUAACUCCUGUCAGCAGCAAGGUCCCGACUGAAGUGGCAGCUGCAGUUGUUCCUGUGGUGUGGGCCAGUGGAAUUCCAGGAGAGGGGAAGAGGGCAGAAGCUGUAGGUAUUACCCCUGAUGUGGGAUCUCUCCUGGUAAGGCCAAGCCAGUAUCCUUUAAAAUCAGAAUGCCAGACUGGAUUGGUUGCAGUAACAGCUAAAUUGGCUCCUCCUGGUUUGCUUGUAGAAUGUGAAUGCAAGAACCCUCCAAGAAAACCAAUGGCCAAGAUGAUUGAUUAGUGCAGGACCUGAGAGAACCACCUUGAAUGACAACCUCGAGCAGUUUCCAGUCUUGGAUUGAAAAGAUGGCCUUUGCUGCAUCUCCUGGAGCAAGGAAAGCCAAGAAACCUUUGCUUUUGCAGGAGAAAAUCUGGAAAGCGAGAAGGAAGAAAAGAAGCCAUGUGACUCCUCCUGAGCCCCAGACAGCCCCUGAACUGCCUUCCUGGGAAUGGUAGGACAGGGUGGACUCUGGAUUGCUCCCUCUGGAUGUGUGGCUCUCCCCUGCAGGAACUCCAGGAACUCCUGGUGCCGCCUGGGCCGAUGGAUUGGACGCCCCAGCCCCUCCGUUCCUGCCCAGCCCCUGGGGCCGUGUCGAGUGGUGGCACUGCCAGCCCCUGCAGGUGAGGGGGAAAGGGCCUUUGCAGGUGUU